rnacentral:rRNA from 1 species
GAUGAACGCUGGCGGCGUGCCUAAUACAUGCAAGUCGAGCGAACAGACGAGGAGCUUGCUCCUCUAACGUUAGCGGCGGACGGGUGAGUAACACGUGGAUAACCUACCUAUAAGACUGGGAUAACUUCGGGAAACCGGAGCUAAUACCGGAUAAUAUAUUGAACCGCAUGGUUCAAUAGUGAAAGACGGUUUUGCUGUCACUUAUAGAUGGAUCCGCGCCGCAUUAGCUAGUUGGUAAGGUAACAGCUUACCAAGGCAACGAUGCGUAGCCGACCUGAGAGGGUGAUCGGCCACACUGGAACUGAGACACGGUCCAGACUCCUACGGGAGGCAGCAGUAGGGAAUCUUCCGCAAUGGGCGAAAGCCUGACGGAGCAACGCCGCGUGAGUGAUGAAGGUCUUCGGAUCGUAAAACUCUGUUAUUAGGGAAGAACAAUUGUGUAAGUAACUAUGCACGUCUUGACGGUACCUAAUCAGAAAGCCACGGCUAACUACGUG